rnacentral:rRNA from 1 species
UCCGUAGGUGAACCUGCGGAAGGAUCAUUAGGGAAUUAUAAAAUCGGCUUGCCCCUCUCGAGGGUGCUCGCCGUAAUUUCUAUCCACAAAACACCGUGAACCCUCGAAAGAGGCGUAAUUUUUUUCUAUAAAAAACACAAAGUCUAUGAAAGUAACAAAACAAACAAAACAAAAUAAAACUUUUGACAACGGAUCUCUUGGUUCUCCCAUCGAUGAAGAACGCAGCGAAACGCGAUAGGUAUUGUGAAUUGCAGAAUCAGGGAAUCAUCGAAUUUUUGAACGCACCUUGCGCUCCCUGGUAUUCCUAGGAGCAUGCCUGUUUGAGUGUUGAUAGCCUCUCCAAACCUUGGUUUUUUCAUUAAAUCGAGUGCUUUGGGUCCCUGGGCCUGUAGCGGCGACGUUACUUGCCUUAAAAGGAUCAAAGAAGACCCAAUCGGAUGUUAAGCAUGAUAUCCUUUGGGGUCUUUGAACGACUAUAAACUAUAUAUACAACCUCAAAUCAGGUAGGACUACCCGCUGAACUUAAGCAUAUCAAUAAGCGGAGGA